rnacentral:rRNA from 1 species
AUUGAACGCUGGCGGCAUGCCUUACACAUGCAAGUCGAACGGCAGCACGGGAGCAAUCCUGGUGGCGAGUGGCGAACGGGUGAGUAAUAUAUCGGAACGUGCCCAGUAGUGGGGGAUAACUGCUCGAAAGAGCGGCUAAUACCGCAUACGACCUGAGGGUGAAAGGGGGGGAUCGCAAGACCUCUCGCUAUUGGAGCGGCCGAUAUCAGAUUAGCUAGUUGGUGGGGUAAAGGCCUACCAAGGCAACGAUCUGUAGUUGGUCUGAGAGGACGACCAGCCACACUGGGACUGAGACACGGCCAAGACUCCUACGGGAGGCAGCAGUGGGGAAUUUUGGACAAUGGGCGCAAGCCUGAUCCAGCAAUGCCGCGUGCAGGAAGAAGGCCUUCGGGUUGUAAACUGCUUUUGUCAGGGAGGAAAUCCUCUAGGUUAAUGCCCUUGGGGGGAUGACGGUACCUGAAGAAUAAGCACCGGCUAACUACGUGCCAGCCGCCGCAGUAAAAC